GCCUACUGACGUCUAUUAAACUUCUAACGUAGACGAAGGGUCUACUUCGAGCCUCGAGUAAUUUCAAGUUUGGUUUUGCCUCCGGAUGCGGUCCACCUAGCACUGCGCACAUUUCAAAUCGGGAGACAAAGAAAAGCUGUAACGCUAAGCAUUCGUAGCACCAAAAAAAAAAAA
rnacentral:lncRNA from 13 species